AACGUAGGAGACAAACGUUAUCCGGAGUUACUGGGCGUAAAGGGCGUGUAGGUGGCCAUGUAGGUCCGCUGUGAAAACUUGAGGCUCAACCUCAAGCUGUCGGUGGAAACCACAUGGCUAGAGUCCGGAAGAGGAGAGUGGAAUUCCUGGUGUAGCGGUGAAAUGCGCAGAUAUCAGGAAGAACACCAAUGGCGAAGGCAGCUCUCUGGGACGGUACUGACACUGAGACGCGAAAGCGUGGGGAGCGAACAGG
rnacentral:rRNA from 1 species